rnacentral:rRNA from 1 species
UACCUGCAGCUCGAGUGGUAACCGCUAUUAUUGGGCCUAAAGCGUCCGUAGCCGGUUUGGUAAAUAUCUGGGUAAAUCGUGAGGCUUAACUUCACGAAUUUCGGAUAGACUGCCAGAUUUGGGAUCGGGGGAGGUCAGAGGUACUCCAGGGGUAGCGGUGAAAUGUUGUAAUCCUUGGAGGGCCACCGGUAGCGAAGGCGUCUGACUAGAACGAGUCCGACGGUGAGGGACGAAGCCCUGGGGCGCAAACCGGAUUAGAUACCCGGGUAGUCCAGGGUGUAAACAAUGUGGGCUUUGUAUUGGAGGUCCCACGUGGGCGUCCAGUGCAGAAGAGAAGUUGUUAAGCCCACCGCCUGGGAAGUACGGUCGCAAGGCUGAAACUUAAAGGAAUUGGCGGGGGAGCACAGCAACGGGAGGAGCGUGCGGUUU